rnacentral:rRNA from 1 species
GGUUAAAAAGCUCGUAGUUGGAUUUCUGCCUGAGGCAGCCGGUCCGCACUUAGUGCGUGUAUCUGGUUUGGUUUGGGCAUCCUCUUGGGGAUCGUUGCUGUGCUUAGUUGCAUGGUGCGGAAUUCAAGACGUUUACUUUGAGGAAAUUAGAGUGGUUACGGCAAGCUAUCGCUUUGAAUACAUUAGCAUGGAAUAAUAGUAUAGGACGUAAGUUCUAUCUUGUUGGUUUCUAGAACAUACGCAAUGAUUAAUAGGGACAAUUGGGGGCAUUCGUAUUAACGCGUCAGAGGUGGAAUUCUUAGAUUGCGUUACGACGAACUACUGCGAAAGCAUUUGCCAAGGAUGUUUUCAUUGAUCAAGAACGAAAGUAUGGGGAUCGAAGACGAUUAGAUACCGUCGUAGUCUAUACCAUAAACUAUGCCAAUUAGAGAUUGGAGGUCGUUAUUUUAUGACUCCUCCAGCACCUUAUGA